UGGGGAAUAUUGCACAAUGGGCGCAAGCCUGAUGCAGCGACGCCGCGUGCGGGAUGGAGGCCUUCGGGUUGUAAACCGCUUUUGUUCAAGGGCAAGGCACGGCUUCGGGCCGUGUUGAGUGGAUUGUUCGAAUAAAAAGCACCGGCUAACUACGUGCCAGCAGCCGCGGUAAUA
rnacentral:rRNA from 1 species